CCGGGCUGAGGCCUAAGCCCCGCCCUCCUCGUGCUCCGGUCUUCAGCAGGCGCAACUCUCCGCCUCAGCACGCGCCACCACCCGCGGCCGCCUCGGCGCCAGCCCCGGGGUGGCGCCUGAGGGCACCGGGGUCCGGUGGCGCUCCUGGCCCCACCUCGCUCGCUCCCUGCCGCCGCCUGGGGCGUGAGGUUGCCAGCGUGAGCCCGCCGCGCGCGGAGGCCAGACCCGUGCUCAUCUCCUGGUGCCCGCGCGCUGUGCACCUCAGGGACCUACUGUUGGGGGCGGGGCGCGGGGGUGAAUUAUCCCGGGACAUUUCUAGUUUACUACGUGACCCACGCGAAGGAAGUGCGGCCCUGGGACGCCUCGGGGACAGAGUGCCUUAUCCCCUUCUUGAAGGGACGGAGACUCCGGUUCAGCCCCCGCGUGCCUGAUCAUCGGAGGAGUCUCUAUGCUAAUAAGCGUGUUAGCGGUACAGACGACGGACGCUGCCCGAAGGGGCGGCGGGCCGGCACGGCACCAAUCGCAGCGCCAGGCUGAGGGGAGGCCGGACGUCGGCUUACCUUCUCACCUCUGAGGAAGUCGGGGCUUUAACCCCGCGCGCGACCGACCUGAGGCCCAAAGGAGGGCCGGCCACCCAGGUGGGCCGGGCUGCCACUUCCCGGUGUGGUGGAGCCGAAAUGAUGUCAUUUCCACCAGUCUCUACUUUGCAACCUAAGAUCGUCCUUUGAUUUGACCAAAGCUGAGGAAACUGAGGCCGAGGGAGGGGCGCAGCUUACCCAGUGAAGCUUUUCCUGGGAGGCGCCAGGCUCCCCGUGGAGCCAGAGGAGCUGCCCGGAAAAGAGCCAGGCUACCUCUUUCUGGUAUUCCUUGAACACUCUCGCCUUGGAGCUUUUGCACUGUAUCUCCUCGACCUGGAAUGCUUUACCUCAGCUGUCCCCGUGGCUCAUCCUUCAUUCCCUUCAGGUGCAUGCCUGUGAGUCUGGACCAGGCCAUGUGACUUCUUUCGGCCAAAGAAUGAGGUGGAAGCGACAGUGUGCCAUUUCUGAGCCCAGGCCUUCAGACAUCUUGCAGGGUCUCCCUUUGUACUCUGUGCCUCUGCCAUUGCCAUGAUCAAGGCACACCCACGUUGGCCCCUGGUUCCAGGAGAAAGAAAAAAGACUCGUGAAGAGCCAAACCACCGCAGCAAAGCCCAGCCAGAACCAGCCAAACCCUGGUUGACCCAGAUGCACUCCUGGGAGCUGCCAGCCUGAGAGGUGCCCACAGUCUUACAGGAAGGACCUGGAGGGCACAAUGGGGUCCUUGGGCAGACUGGCAUUGACAUGUGAGGAUGGCCACCAUGUCACCUUCUCUGAUGUCAGCCACUGGCCCUCUCUGUCACAGGUACUGUUGACCACUCACCACUUCCAGAGUCUCUGUAAUCCCUUGGUUCCCAAGACCCCACAGGUUCCAGGUGCCCUCUCUCUCUGGCUAUUCCUUCACUGAAGUCCCUUUUCUCCAGCCUCUUCCUUGAAGGUUGGUGUUCUCCACGACCAUCUUUUUUUUUUUUUUAAAUCGGUCAUUCAGUCAAUCAAUCAAGCAAUC